UGAAAUUGAUGUCCUCAUAACUCCAGCUUCCUCUAACUGCUAAAAUCCAAUUGAACGUGUUGUGGAGGUUCACUUCUGUGCUCGCUCUGAGCUGUGCUUUGAUGUCACGGUGCCAGCCCAGCCCAGCUGUCUGGACCAGGGAAUUUGCAUCCUGGAAGUGGAAAGUCUUGUCAUCACAGCAACAUUGCCAGUUGUGGUACCACUGUGCCUCUACA